rnacentral:rRNA from 1 species
UACGAAGGGUGCAAGCGUUACUCGGAAUUAUUGGGCGUAAAGCGCACGUAGGCGGUUCGUUAAGUCGGAUGUGAAAGCCCUCGGCUCAACUGAGGAAGUGCACCCGAAACUGGCGAGCUUGAGUACGAAAGAGGAUCGCGGAAUUCCCGGUGUAGAGGUGAAAUUCGUAGAUAUCGGGAGGAACACCGGUGGCGAAGGCGGCGAUCUGGGUCGAUACUGACGCUGAGGUGCGAAAGCGUGGGGAGCAAACAGG